AGAACGAACGCUGGCGGCAUGCCUAAUACAUGCAAGUCGAACGAACUCUUCGGAGUUAGUGGCGCACGGGUGCGUAACGCGUGGGAAUCUGCCCCUUGGUUCGGAAUAACAGUUGGAAACGACUGCUAAUACCGGAUGAUGACGAAAGUCCAAAGAUUUAUCGCCAAGGGAUGAGCCCGCGUAGGAUUAGCUAGUUGGUGAGGUAAAGGCUCACCAAGGCAACGAUCCUUAGCUGGUCUGAGAGAUGAUCAGCCACACUGGGACUGAGACACGGCCCAGACUCCUACGGGAGCAGCAGUGGGGAAUAUUGCACAAUGGGACCGCAAGCCUGAUGCAGCCAACGCCGCGUGAGGGACGACGGCCUUCGGUUACGUAAACUCGUUUAGUAGGGAAGAAGCGAAAGUGACGGUACC
rnacentral:rRNA from 1 species